rnacentral:ncRNA from 2 species
UUAAGAUAUCUAGGCACAAGUGAACUGUAAUAGCAUAGGGAAACAUCGGUGUAAGUCCGAGGCUGUGCCGCAGCUGUAAAUGAUUUUGUCGCUUGUCAUUUGUCACUUGUCAUUUGUUGCUCUAACUGCAAAUGAUAAAUGACUGAUGAACGAUGACGAAUAGUAAGCCAGAAUGCCUGUGCUGUUAUCCGCUC